GGAUGUAAGGAUCAUCUGUCACUCCUUUGAUCGCUACGGUUGAUAUUUUUGUUGUUGUUGUUGUUGAUCUGGCAAGUGUCCUCUUCCUCAUUCACCACUCCAUGCAUGUCCUUGCUGAAGCUCCACACUUGGUAGAAUAAGACAAGGUUUCCCUGAUGGACAGCCGUCCAUUUUCUAAAAUCUUGGAAAAUGUAACCCAGGUGCUGUCAUUAGGGUCAAUAUCAACUUCAGUCUUUAAAUGAAAGACUAGAAACU
ensembl:misc_RNA 7SK 7SK RNA